rnacentral:rRNA from 1 species
GGGCGUAAGAGCUCGUAGGUGGUUCGUUACGUCGGAUGUGAAAAUCUGGGGCUCAACCCCAGACCUGCAUUCGAUACGGGCGAUCUAGAGUGUGGUAGGGGAGACUGGAAUUCCUGGUGUAGCGGUGGAAUGCGCAGAUAUCAGGAGGAACACCAAUGGCGAAGGCAGGUCUCUGGGCCAUUACUGACACUGAGGAGCGAAAGCGUGGGGAGCGAACAGGAUUAGAUACCCUGGUAGUCCACGCCGUAAACGGUGGGCACUAGUUGUGGGAACCUUCCACGGUUUCUGCGACGCAGCUAACGCAUUAAGUGCCCCGCCUGGGGAGUACGAUCGCAAGAUUAAAACUCAAAGGAAUUGACGGGGCCCCGCACAAGCAGCGGAGCAUGCGGCUUAAUUCGACGCAACGCGAAGAACCUUACCAAGGCUUGACAUAUACCGGAAUAUGGCAGAGAUGUCAUAGCUGUAAAAGGUCGGUAUACAGGUGGUGCAUGGUUGUCGUCAGCUCGUGUCGUGAGAUGUUGGGUUAAGUCCCGCAACGAGCGCAACCCUCGUUCUGUGUUGCCAGCAUUUAGUUGGGGACUCACAGGAGACUGCCGGGGUCAACUCGGAGGAAGGUAAU